UCACCCAUUCGCCUUCACUCCUCAUUGCAUUUAUUUAUUAUCAUAUCACUUUUAUUUUGAUUGUCUAAUGGCAUAAAAAAAAAUGGAAGAUAAUGAGGCACAGAGAAGAGGAGGACAAAAAAAGACAUGAUAGAGUAUUUUCUAAUGAGUAAGGACUAGCUAGAUUACAGUUGGUGAGGUUCCAAUGAGAACUCUACUACACUUUAAACUUCUAGAGAAAUAUUAGGAUUUAAAUGAACUGCUAGAUUUUAGCAAGGAAACAUAUUACCCAUUCUCUUUGUUGGAAUCUGAAUGAUGAUGAAGGAAUCAAUAAGUAUUUUGCUGCAUUCCACUUGUAUGAUAAAUUUCCAGUUGCAGUGGUUAUUGAUGAUUUUGGAGACUUUUUCGUAGAAAGGUACUCGCUUUCUUGUAAAUUAUUUCUCCAUCUCUCGUAGUUCAUAGUGUGAGAUUAUAUUAUUACCACGUUCAUAUUUUCUUGUAAAUUCUUUUUGUUUGUCUUUUACUUGCAAAAUUUUCUAAGGAGCUGCCAGGAGACCAUAUAUCAGAAUCCUCGCGGAAGAGACUUAGCAAUAGUUCGGAUUCUCGUGGUUCUCAGCUAACAUCUUUUUAAGCUGUUUGAACAGUGAGAAAGGUCACUGCAAGCUUCUGCUUUCUGAUACCCGCCAUGGAGACUGCCCAAGGUUGCUUUUCGUCUAUAAAAGGUGGGUUCCAUCCAUUUUCACCAUCAAAGGUUGCACCAGAGUAAAACCUGUGAUUUGUGGUCCAGUGCAUCAAAAAUUAAUCUGUGCUCGAUGAAACAAACAUACAACUUCCAUAGUAUCACAGGACACAUUUCAACAUCAGUAGCUUCCCCUCCUAUUGUCUAUCAAGCUUCAGCUGGGAAAACACCGAUCGAGUAAAACAAGCAUCCAAAGUUAUAUUGCUAAAUUUCAUGUCACUUUACAAUUUGGUGAUCAAAGAAACUUGGAGGUCAUGGAGCUGUAACAGACUUUUGAAGCAUCAUAGGCAGCUGCUGCAUUUUCUUUGACCGGUGGGGAUCUGCAGGGAUGGACCUCCAUGGCAAGGCCAAGUUUUUGGCGGUACUUACAAUAGGAGAGAAGAGUGCCUGCAUUUUCUGUGGAUGGUGUUUGAAGUUGAAGUUCCGGAAGAAGAAGAUCCAAAUUACAAAUGUUAGUGUGAAAAUCAAUAAUAGAAUGGGUAAGGUCUAUUUUUCCGUUUGACCAGGGUGGUGCGGUGAAGCUUUGAGAGCCUUGGAUAUUAUGCCAUUGACACGACUGCGUUUCAUUUUAUGUCAACUUUGGAUCUCGUUUAUUUAGUUUA